AUUGAACGCUGGCGGCAGGCCUAACACAUGCAAGUCGAACGGUAACAGGAAGGAGCUUGCUUCUUUGCUGACGAGUGGCGGACGGGUGAGUAAUGUCUGGGAAACUGCCUGAUGGAGGGGGAUAACUACUGGAAACGGUAGCUAAUACCGCGUAACGUCGCAAGACCAAAGAGGGGGACCUUCGGGCCUCUUGCCAUCGGAUGUGCCCAGAUGGGAUUAGCUAGUAGGUGGGGUAACGGCUCACCUAGGCGACGAUCCCUAGCUGGUCUGAGAGGAUGACCAGCCAAACUGGAACUGAGACACGGUCCAGACUCCUACGGGAGGCAGCAGUGGGGAAUAUUGCACAAUGGGCGCAAGCCUGAUGCAGCCAUGCCGCGUGUAUGAAGAAGGCCUUCGGGUUGUAAGGUACCUUCAGCGAGGAGGAAGGCAUUAAGGUUAAUAACCUUGGUGAUUGACGUUACUCGCAGAAGAAGCACCGGCUAACUCCGUGCCAGCCGCCGCAGUAACAC
rnacentral:rRNA from 1 species